GACGUAGGGCGCGAGCGUUGUCCGGAUUUAUUGGGCGUAAAGAGCUCGUAGGCGGCUUGUCGCGUCGACUGUGAAAUCCCGCGGCUCAACUGCGGGUCUGCAGUCGAUACGGGCAGGCUAGAGUUCGGUAGGGGAGACUGGAAUUCCUGGUGUAGCGGUGAAAUGACGCAGAGUAUCAGGAGGAACACCGGUGGCGAAGGCGGGUCUCUGGACCGAUACUGACGCUGAGGAGCGAAAGCGUGGGGAGCGAACAGG
rnacentral:rRNA from 1 species